GACGAACGCUGGCGGCGUGCCUAAUACAUGCAAGUAGAACGCUGAAGGAGGAGCUUGCUUCUCUGGAUGAGUUGCGAACGGGUGAGUAACGCGUAGGUAACCUGCCUGGUAGCGGGUGAUAACUGUUGGAAACGAUAGCUAAUACCGCAUAACAGUAGAUAUCGCAUGAUAUCUACUUGAAAGGUGCAAUUGCAUCGCUACCAGAUGGACCUGCGUUGUAUUAGCUAUUUGGUGAGGUAAAGGCUCAACAAGGCGACGAUACAUAGCCGACCUGAGAGGGGGAACGGGCACCCUGGGACUGAGACCCGGGCCAGAAUCCUAAGGGAGGCAGCAGUAGGGAAUCUUCGGCAAUAGACGGAAGUCUGACCGAGCAACGCCGCGGGAGUGAAGAAGGUUCUCGGAUCGGAAAGCUCUGUUGUAAGAGAAGAAAGAGUGUGAGAGUGGAACGUUCACACUGUGACGGUAUCUUAACAGAAAGGGACGGCUAACUACGUG
rnacentral:rRNA from 1 species